GCCUGGCUGGCUCAGUUGGUGGAGUAUAUGACUCUUGAUCUUGGAAUUGUGGGUUCGAGCCCCAUGUUGGGUG
rfam:Mustela putorius furo unplaced genomic scaffold scaffold00029, whole genome shotgun sequence.